rnacentral:lncRNA from 1 species
CGGCCAUGUAAGGAGCUACCCUCAGUCUACCCUCAGGGAGAUUCCCAUAUCAACUAUGGCAUCUUGGGCAGUCACAUCCUGUAUGCUCAUAGGAUCUGCAUCACAGAGUAGGAACAUCAAAACCUGUACUUGUCCAAUUUUGAGACACAGAGGCUGAAACUGUGACAGUGGUCACCAUGCAGCAGGUGACCAGCUCAGUUCUCAGGUCAUCAAGAAAAUGAAGACAUUGCAGCCAGGUUCCUAACUUUGGCCUAAGUAUGAGUCACUAAAGGCACCUUGGUCAAGUUUCUAGUAUUGCCUUAGUGAUUAAAGUCAAGCCAUUUUAUGGCAAAUAAAGUCAGUAUCUG